rnacentral:rRNA from 1 species
AGGAUGAACGCUGGCGGUCUGCUUAACACAUGCAAGUCGAACGGAGUAGCAAUACUUAGUGGCGGACGGGUGAGUAACGCGUGAGAAUCUACCUUCAGGACGGAGACAACAGUUGGAAACGACUGCUAACCCCCGAUGUACCGAAAGGGCAAAUAUUUAUAGCCUGAAGAAGAGCUCGCGUCCGAUUAGCUAGUUGGAGAGGUAAAAGCUCACCAAGGCGACGAUCGGUAGCUGGUCUGAGAGGACGAUCAGCCACACUGGGACUGAGACACGGCCCAGACUCCUACGGGAGGCAGCAGUGGGGAAUUUUCCGCAAUGGGCGAAAGCCUGACGGAGCAAGACCGCGUGGGGAAGAAGGCUCUUGGGUUGUAAACCCCUUUCUCUGGGAAGAACGCAAUGACGGUACCAGAGGAAUCAGCAUCGGCUAACUCCGUGCCAGCAGCCGC